UAGGGUUUGGGAUAACUUCAUGAUGACCAUGAAGGGGCUAACAAGCUACAGGGACCUGAGUGAGACCCUCAACCAGACUCCAAAUUCAAAUCAUUUGGCUUCCACAGACAGGUGAACUAGGAAAUAGGAAUGAUCCUCUGGCCUGGUAAUCAGUUCAUUGUUUCACAUCAUCUGGGUUCCUGGGAUGGCAGCACACCUGACUGGCCAUAUCCUUUGUAAUCUGCCUCGCUUCCCUUUCUCUCAGAUGUUUUCUCUUUAGUUUACAACGAUCAGCCAUUUUCCUUUUCCACUCUUAGUGCAUAAAUGCAUGCUUAUGCUUAUUUUGUUAUUGCAUUUGCAGUCUUUGCUUUAGAUACUGGGCUUUUGUUUUUAUAUUCUGUGUAAGGCUGGACACUUCUCUUGUUUGUUUUGAGUUAUUCGUUAUUUUGAGAUGUCUCCCAUUGUUCUGACUCUGAGAUGCCAGAGUCACACUGUUCUAUGCUCCCAGUUGUGUGCCUUUAGGGUUCACUACUGGCCACCCCCAGAUGCUCCAGCAUUUUUGAUAGUUGUUGUGGGGACCCUCAUUGGAUGACUCCUGGAUGCUCUGUAUCUUGUGGCAUUUGGCAUAAAUUGAUUUGUGGGGGAUCCUGGAUUUGGGUAGGGUGAUUACAUCAGCAGUCAGUCUCAAAUGUAUUUUGUUCUUAUUAGAGACUGAACCACCUUUUGUUCUUUGUUAGUUUUCUUAUUCCACCCUAUUCAGCAACCUCUUCUAGUCUGUCCUAAAGUCAGAACUUCCUUUUUUUCUGCAAUGGCUAGCUACAGGUCUCUUGUCUCUGUUUCUCCCUCUGCUUAAACUGAAAGCCCCAAAUGAGCUUCCUUGCUCAAGCCCAUUUUUCUGGGGUCCUGGAGCCCUGACUUGACAGAUGACUUCCUGCAGCAGCAGACAAGUGGUGAUGUGAACACUUUCUUUGGUGUCUCCACUGCUGGCCUCCCUGCUGCGUUUUUUCUGAGUCUGUGAGAAAGAAGAGCCAAGCUGCAGAGAAAGAGAUUCUGCCAUGUGCUGUGUGAUCCUGCAUGGUUUAUAACCUCCAGUCUUUUCAUCCAUGACGUGAGGAUAACAAUACCUCCUCAAAGGGCUUUUGUGAGGAUUACACAACCCAGGGCUUGACAAAAAUAAAGAAGACACUGAAAGAAAAGUUUGCAUGGAUUCUGUUGAACUGAAGAGGGCAGAUGGAUAUCUCUUUAGAAAAAUGACAAUAGCUCUGGCCAUCCAUCUCACAAAUUUGUGUCAUUAAUUCAGCAGAGACAGUGAGAAAGAAAAUAGAUCAGACCAAAUCUGAAGUAAAGUAGAAAUGAUGCUGGCCUGGGAGUUAUAGAAUCAGAGUACUACAGAUGAAUCUCUGAAUCCUUAUUAAUGGGUAGUGUGAACUUGAGCAAGUCCUUGAACCUCUAGCUGCUUACAAGUUAUCUGGACUAGAUCAACUUCAAAGUCCUUCUAAUUUGUAUCUUCUAGAAUGUGUAAUUCUAAUGUCACUAUUGGAAAGCCAACAAAUGUUGUUAUGAUUGUGGUAGAUUGAUAGAAUUGUUUUCACAUACAAAGAAGGCACAAUGCCUUUAGACAUGUGGAAAAAAUAGCCAUUAGAGGUGUCCCUAAAAGAAUAUUUUGAAUCACUGAUUGAUUAUACCUCUAAAGUUCCCAUUUACUUACAUGAGUUUAUGUUUUGGAAACUUACCAAAGGUCCUUUGCUUGAGAACAAAGAAAAGUCAAUUCUUCAUUAUAGACCAUCUGAAAUAAGAUGUUGGAAAAAAUUAUUAUGAGCCAUAAAGUGUCUUAGAAUUGUUAAAUUGUAUUGCUUGAACUGCAUAUGAGAGUAAAGACUGAUAAUUUUUAAAAUACUUAGGACUAUAUGUUACAUUCGAAUUGUUAUGGUUUAAAAUAAGGGGAUUCAAUACAUUCAGGA
rnacentral:lncRNA from 10 species